rnacentral:snRNA from 1 species
AGGAGGGCAAGGGAGUCGAUAAGGAUGGUAACAAGGUCAAGGCUGACAAGGACGCCAUCAAGGCUUU